GAUGAACGCUAGCGGCAGGCCUAAUACAUGCAAGUCGAACGGGAUCUGAGGGUAGCUUGCUACCCGAUUUGAGAGUGGCGCACGGGUGCGUAACGCGUGAGCAACCUGCCCAUAUCAGGGGGAUAGCCCGAAGAAAUUCGGAUUAACACCGCAUAAUAAUACGCUAACACAUGUUGAUGUAUUUAAAUAUUUAUAGGAUAUGUAUGGGCUCGCGUGACAUUAGCUAGUUGGUAAGGUAACGGCUUACCAAGGCGACGAUGCCUAGGGGCUCUGAGAGGAGAAUCCCCCACACUGGUACUGAGACACGGACCAGACUCCUACGGGAGGCAGCAGUAAGGAAUAUUGGUCAAUGGGCGCAAGCCUGAACCAGCCAUGCCGCGUGCAGGAUGACUGCCCUAUGGGUUGUAAACUGCUUUUGUUAGGGAAUAAACCUUCUUACGUGUAAGGAGCUGAAUGUACCUAAAGAAUAAGGAUCGGCUAACUCCGUGCCAGCAGCCGCGGUAACAC
rnacentral:rRNA from 1 species